UGUGGGAGGGGGCUUGCUCCCGAUAGCGGUAUGUCAGUCACAGAUUUUUUGACUGGUGCACCGCUAUCGGGAGCAAGCCCCCUCCCACA
rnacentral:misc_RNA from 1 species